GUGCCUCACAGACAGCAUCCCAGCACAUCAUGGAGAGCUAAGUGACAGAACAGGCAGCUCCUCUUCUCCCUGGAGGGGAGAACAGAGAUGGAUUUCUAUCAAAAGGAGCCACUAUGUGCUGUUACAUGCCAUAUACAUGGGAGGUUGUGACAGUUGUAUUAAAACCUCCAGGACUGGCUAUCUAUGACUGGCUCCACAGUGCUCAGGGCAAGAAGAGUCAACUGCAGGUCUUUUGUGGCUCAUUAUCUUCUUGCUUCCAUUUCUUAAAGGGAGAAUAUGUAGAUUGGUCCCCUAACUUAGGAAGUACGGGGAAAGUAAAACCAGAAAUACUUCCCCUAACUUUGACUCGUAUAAACACAUUAAGGAAAGGAAAGGUUGAAAGGAUGUUCCCACACUCAAGGAACUUGUACAACCAAGUCAAGCGAGGCAAGUCAAGAAGAAAACAGAACCCCAAUCAUUUCUCCAGAUGCUCUGAAUCACCUCCAGGGCACAGGCAUAGAUGUUCCCCAACCCUGAAUGCUACAGCAAGUGCAUAUCUACUUACAGCAGAUUUGUAAACAGAUCUAUUCUCCACUUAAAAACAUUUUUUCAAGACCAGUGAUUAAAAAUGUAAAAACUAAAGCCUGAAAAAAUAUCAGUUCCCCUUGCAGAGCCCAGCAUGGGCAGUGUUUAAUCAUUCCCUUUGCAAAGGAUCCCCAAAUUGGGAGAGGCUGGAUGGAUGACUAAGUCAAGUUGGUGCAAAAUGAGUCACGUUU
rnacentral:lncRNA from 1 species